UCAAAGGAACAAUAACUACAGGGGAAACAACAACUGAAGGCCAAGGUUCAAUGGUGGAAACUAUGCAAAUGAGUUUGGAAUCUAUCAGAUCUGUGACAGGUCGGGUCACAGUGCUUACACUUUCCGCCAAAGAAACACCCAGCAAGGUGAAGCUUCAAGCUCUACUGUGGUAUGUCAGAUUUGCAAGAAAAGUUGUCAUAUUACAAAGUUUUGCAGAUACAGAAACUCAAACCAGAACCAAUAGAACUCAAACUCAGCCUUUCUUGCCCGUGGUGACUCUGGUAAUGAGAUGUGGAUUGUUGAUUCAGGGGCUACCAACCACAUGACUUCAGAUAUCCACCAGAUACAGAACGUGACCUCAUACAACUCUUGUGACUCUGUCCAGAUCGGACAAGGUGACAGGAAGAGUGUUGUAUGAAGGAGUGUGUGACAAGGGCCUGUACCCAAUUCCAAUCAAAGUUGCCAGAAAAUGUCUACAUAUUUUAGAUGUUUCUACUGCUUUCCUCGGUAAUAAGGUUUCCCACUCUUUGUGGCACCAAAGAUUAGGUCAUCCCUCAAAUCAGAUAAUGUCUAGUAUGUUGAACAAGUCUAAAAUAGUUGUAGCCUCUUAUCAAUGCAAAUCUGUGUGUGAUUCUUGUCUAGCUGGUAAAUCCCACAAGUUGUCUUUUCCCAUGGCCUCUGAAAAAUCUGUAACACCCUUUGAAGUCAUCCAUUCAGAUCUUUGGGGGUCAUCUCCUGUGUUGUCACUUGAGGGAUACAAAUAUUACAUGACUUUGAUUGAUGAAUGUACAAGAUACACAUGGAUUUUUCCAUUGAGAAAUAAAAGAGAAGCUUUUCCUU